AUAAAAAUUUUAUAGUUUAUAUAAUUUAUUUUAAAUUUAUUUUACAUAUAAAUUUUAGUAAAUAUUUUAUUUUAUUUUAAUAAUAAAAUAUUUAAUUAAGUAGUAAUUAAUAUUAAAAAUUUAAGAAAUUAAGAUUUAGUAAUAUAAAAAUUAAAAACUAAUUUUGUGCCAGCAGUUGCGGUUAAACAAAAUUUAAAAUAAAUUUUUUUAGUAAUUAAUUAUUAAAAAUUUAUAAAUUAAUUUAAAUUUUAAAUUAUUAAGUGAAAUUUUAAUUUAAUAAAAAAUUAAAAUUUUUAUUUAUGAUAAUUAAUAAAUUUUAAAAAAAACUAGGAUUAGAUACCCUAUUAUGAAAAAUUUAAAAUAAAUAUACUAAAAUAGUAAUUAAUUUUUUAUUGAAACUUAAAUAAAUUGGCGGUAUUUUAGUUCAUUUAGAGGAAUCUGUUUAAUAAUUGAUAUUCCACGAAUAAAUUUACUUAAUUUAAUAAUUUGUAUAUCGUUGUUAAAAAAAUAUUUUAAAAUAAUUAAUAAUAUUUAAAAAUUUAAAUUUAAAAUUAAAUCAGAUCAAGAUGUAGUUUAUAAUUAAGAAUAUAAUGGAUUACAAUAAAUUUAUUUAAAUGAAUAUAAAUUUGUAAAAAUUUAUUGAAGGUGAAUUUAAAAGUAAUUUUAUUUAGUUUUUUAAAAUGAUUAAAAAUUAAAAUAUGUACAUAUUGCCCGUCACUUUCAUAUAUAAGUUGAAAUAAGUCGUAACAAAGUAGAGGUACUGGAAAGUGUUUCUAGAAUGU
rnacentral:ncRNA from 1 species